UACGUAGGGGGGCAAGCGUUGUCCGGAAUCAUUGGGCGUAAAGAGCGUGUAGGCGGUCCGGUAAGUCGGCUGUGAAAGUCCAGGGCUCAACCCCUGGGAUGCCGGUCGACUACUGCCGGACUAGAGUUCGGAAGAGGCGAGUGGAAUUCCCGGUGUAGCGGUGAAAUGCGCAGAUAUCGGGAGGAACACCUAUGGCGAAGGCAGCUCGCUGGGACGUUACUGACGCUGAGACGCGAAAGCGUGGGGAGCAAACAGG
rnacentral:rRNA from 1 species